UUCCUGCUUGAAUUCGACGCGUUUUCGAUACAUCUUAUUUGCAUUAAAGUACGCUGUCCAUUGGAAUCAUCUGAAUGUGUCAGGUGCGAAGUUCACGAAACGAAACUUCGACCGGAAUAGUUAGGCGCAUGCGCAGGCAGUGAAUAUUUGGCUGGGUAAAUUAGCAGCAGGCAGUAUACAUUUGUGAACCUAGAGAGGAGCAAAAGAAGCACACCAGUGCUCACUAUGCCAUCUUUGCCAGACAAAUUAGAUCUUAAAUCUGAUGCUUUGAUGAGGUACCAGUUCAACAAAGGCAGACUCUCCAUUUCACUUCCUCUUCUCUGAGGAAUGUCAUCUGCUGAACUCAACAUCGCUCCCACCCUCACGCUCACACACACUUAAAAUUCCCCUCAUAAGCCUGGAUAUUCCUGAGAACAAUUUCAAGUUACUAUCAUUUACAAUUCCCAGAGCUUUAGGCUUCUUCUUACCUAUGUUAAAUGUAACAGAAGUGUCUAUCAAGAUGAACAGCAAUGUUUAUGACUGGGAGGGCUCUAUCUUAAUAGGAAACAACACCGUUAUGUUCCCAGUUACAUUGCUAAGUACAAAAUGAUGGCCAGCUGCCCCAUGAUACCCCUGUCAUACAAAAUUGAAGGGAUUCAAGUCAAAAUCAUAUUAAGCUAAUCUACAAAGAUAAUUCUCAUAAUGGCAAUCAUCUUUGUAGAUUAAUCUUAAUCUUCAGUUUAUUGGAAUUCGUUUUACUUCACUAACAUCAAAAUAUAGAUUUUUCACGUAGGUACGGGCAUGAUCACUGGUACAGUUGAUGAUACUUUGAAGUACCUUGUGUCUCGAUCGUCAGCUGGAGUGCCCAUGAACUUCAGUAGAAGGCACUCCGGACUCACUCAGGACCCAUUUCCAACUCCAUUUCCCAGAAUCCCGUGUUUAGGGUUAAUCACUACCAGGAGUUCCUCAUUACCACUCCCCUAUAUAAACUGUGUUUGGACUCUCUAACAGGACGAAGUCUUGUUUAGUUUUGUUUGGCAUUUCCAAGCACUUUCCCUGUGUUUGUUCCCUCCGUGUCUGAUCUUGGAUUGUUUAUAUCGACUUUUAUUCUCUGCUGCCUGCCCCGACCUCUGCUUGUUACUGUUGCUGAUUCUGGAUAUCCCUGACAUCCCUGAUGCUUUUUUCUCUGAUCAUUGCCUGUUUGACCAUUCUCUUUAUUAAACCACUGCA